UCCAUACAGUCAUGCUGGCCACAUGACCUUGGAGGUGUCUACGGACAACGCCGGCUCUUCAGCUUAGAAAUGGAGAUGAGCACUAACCCCUUUAUCUUAUUAUUAUUAAUUAUCAGAUGCAAAAAAUGUGAAGAAAAAAACAUGAUUGUCUGCAUGAUUGUGCACCCUGGAUUCCCCCUUCUUGAAAAAUGUGCUCACUAUUAUUCCAAUGAGAGAGAGCAAUAUUAAUCCUGGAUGCCACCCUGCUGUUUUCAACAUCCCAAAUGCUGGGAGUUUGAGCUCCAAAGCUUGCUGAAGGGGGCCACCUUCGAGAACCCCCCCCCCUCCCUCUUUUCUUGAGGAUUGGGGGAGGGAGGGAGGCUCAGGGUGACGACGCGCGGCUGUUACUAGGCGAGGCCUUGCUGUCCUCGGAUCAGGGAGGGAAGGAAGGAAGGAGGGGGGAAAGGAAGAGGAGGACGCGCCGUUCCUUCGCCCGGCCCGGCAGCAACAGCGCGCCUCCCUCCAAGCUCCGGCUUUUGACGCAGGCGCACUGCGGCCUUCCUUUCCUCGCCCUUCACACGCAAAAGGCAGCGCGCGCUCUCGCUGGCAGGGGACGCGCACGCGCACUCCGGCGCGCUCCCCUCUCCUCGCCCGGCUCCUCCCCUUUUAGCAAACAGCGUUAGCCCCGCCCCGCCUUACCUCAGAUGAACCCGUCCGGCCUGGCCUUGAGUUUGCUGCCGCUGUAGUUGCAUGGCAUUGCAUUGCUGCUACGGAUCGAUAAAGGAGGGGGAAAAAAACCACAGCAAGCAGCCAGCAGGACACAGCUAUAGCAAGUCUUAGGUAUUACAUCCUAUUUAGCUUAUGUAGAUUGUUAGCCCGAGGGAAAAUGCAACAUUUUGUAAGCCGCUCUAGCUAAGUGCCCUUUGAGGCUGAAGAGCCAAGUAAAAAUAAUAAUAUUAUGAUAUAAUACAAUGUAAUAAUAAUUAUAAGAUAAAGGUAAAGGUUUUCCCCUGACGUUAAGUCCAGUCAUGACCGACUCUGGGGGUUGGUGCUCAUCUCCAUUUCUAAGCCGAAGAGCCAGCGUUGUCCGUAGACACCUCCAAGGUCAUGUGACCACUGGCAUACUUAUUAAUCUACUCACAUUUGCAUGUUUUCAAACUGCUAGGUUGGCAGGAGCUGGGGCUAACAGCAGGCGCUCAUUCCGCUCCCGGAAUUUGAACCUGGGACCUUUCGGUCUGCAAGUUCAGCAGCUCAGCGCUUUAACACACUGCGCCACCACCAGGGGCCCUAAUAAUAAUUAUAAUUCACUAUUAUAAUUGUAUAUUUAUAUUACAUGCAAUAUUACUAAUAAUAUUGCAAUAUAGUCAUAUAAUAUAAUAUACUAGCCGUGCCCGGCCACGCGUUGCUGUGGGGUUGUCUGGUGGUGUUGGUGAGAAAUGGUUGAGAUAGUGGUGGUAUUGAAUGUCUGUUGUAUGGUUGUCUUUAUGUUUAGUAUGCAUUUGGUUGUUUGUGUACUGUGAAAGUGGUGAGGAUAGAGGGGGUCUAUGUCCCUGUGUAGUAUUGUAUAGUAUUUAUAUGUUGUCCAUGUGUUGUGAAUGCUUGGAUUGUGUCCUGCUGCAUAGUAGAAAGGGUUGGGCUGGAUGGCCCUUAGGGGUCUCGCCAAACUCUUGUGCCUGUCUCCUGGGUUGAGUAGGUUGCUAGGAGACCAAGUGGGCAGAACUUAGCCUUUUAACUGGCAGCAAUUGGAUAAAAACAGUUAUCCCUCUCCCUCUAAUUAGGACUUUAUUUUUCUUUUCUUUUUGUUGUAUCAACCUAGAGCUGUGGAUGAUGGGUUGUAUUGUCAAAUUUCAAGGUUGGGGGGCCUGUAGUUUUGUUGUUUUGUCCGCUGCCCUGAUGCUAUCACUCUUUUAUAUAUAUAGAUUGUAUGUAUAUAUUCUUGUAAACCACCCUGUGUCCCCUUUGGGGUGAGAAGGGCGGGAUAUAAAUGUCGCAAAUAAAUAAAUAAUAAAAAAUCCUUAGUUUAAACCAGGCAUGGACAAACUCCGGCUCUCCCUCUGGGUGUUUUGGACUCCAAUUCCCACAAUUCCUAACAGCACUAAGGCACUCCAAGUGGCCAGUUUGCCAAUGUUAUGCCAAAUUUUUAACUUUGUGUUUUUAAAUACAUUGUAACUGUAUCCUCAAUUUCCUUCUGACAAAAUAAAUAAACAAGGAACAGAAAAAAAAUUCAAAUGUUGUUACAUAGUGUAAUGUUACAGGAAAAAGGAGCACACUCACUGGGCAUUAGGAAUCCUUUUAUUGGAAUAAAACCCUUCCCUUUCAGUGUGUUCUUUUUGGAAACUUUGCAUUGAUGCAUAUAAAUUAGCAGGUGCUGCUCAUACAGGUUGGCCUGUUCUCCUCUGUUUUGGGGCCUGAAGGGGAUGAACAUGGAUGCCUCUCCUGAUAAGGGACGUGAAGCAAUGGUUCAAAUGGCAGAUAGAUUCCACCCAGAAUUUAGGAAGAACUUCCUGAGGGUUAGAGCUGUUCAGCUGUGUAAUAUGCUGCUGUCUGGGAGCCUGGUGAAGUCUCCUUCUCUGAAGGUUUUUAAACAGAGGCUGGAUGGUGAUCUGUUGGGAAGGAUUAAUAAUAAUAGUAAUAACAACAACUUUAUUCUUGUAUCCCGCCCCAUCUCCCCAAGGGGACUCGGGACGUCUCACAUGUGGACCAAGCCCAACAAGAUGCAGUAAAAUAUAACCAUAUAAAAUACAUACCAAUCACAGAAAAUUAAAUACAUCGGAAUUAAAAACACAUCAGAAAUAAAAGUGUAGCCAAUGGCCACGGACGACAUAAUGGUACUUUAAUCUUCAGACUUGGUGGAGAGGGAUAAGAUUAUAAUUGUGCAAUAUGUUUGGAGUACUAAUCACAUGGAUAAAGUGCGAAGAGUAGGACACAGGUAAAGUUAGGGACUUGAUUGUCUGUUCUUCUUAAUCAAAGGUGGCUUGAAAAAACCAAGUUUUCAAAUCUUUUCGGAAGGAUUGGUUUGUGUCUUCCUGCCUGGUAGAAGGGGGAUGGAUUGGAUGGCCUUUGGAGGUCUCUUCCAACUUUAGGAUUCUGUUUGCCUCACCACAAAAGAUCCAGGGGCAUCAAAAGCUCUCAUUGGCUCUUUCCCAUGAUAUUGCGAUGGCCAUGCUGUCUGGGGGUGGUGGGAGGGGUGGAGUGCCACAUCUUGAGAUGUCCAGAUUGGGAACAGUUGUACCGAGUAUUAGCUGUUGUGACAUAUGUCAUACCUCAUUUACUUGUAAGCCUUCCUGACCUCAGAAACGAGAGCCAGCAUGGUGUGUGUGUGGUUUUGAGUGCUGGACUUAGGGUGCAUCUACACUGUAGAAUGAAUGCAGUUUGACAGCACAUGAACUGCCAUGGCUUAAUGCCAUAGGAUCCUGGGAGUUGUAGUUUACCCAGGUUCCGGCCCUCUUGGACAGAGAAAACUAAAGAUACUGAGAAAUGCAACCCUCAGGAGCCCAUGGCCUUGAGCCGGGGCAGUUCAAGUGGGGUCAGGCUGCCUUCAUUGCACAGAGUAGAGGUAGCCUUGCUCUCUGCAAGGCUGGUGAAUUAGGACAUUGCAAUGGGAAAAGCACAAGAUGCUUAUUUUUUGGAGAUAGGCAUAGCAGUAAUUACCUCCCCCCCCCCCACAAAAAAAAUCCCUUGCUGCUUCUGUAUCAGAGGGAAAGGGGGAAGAGAAGAACUCCAGCUCUUGCACGUCCUUCUCUCACUUGCUUGAUUCGGAGCUUGGGGGGGGGGGGGAGUAGUGGUACAAACUCCUCCUCCUCCUCUUCCUCCUCCUCCUCUUCUCCCCCCUCCCACUUCAGAAGAGGAGGAGGAGGAGGAGAGAGAAGCCAAAUGAACAAUGCAAACUGCCAGUACAUCCGACACGCACGGUUUUCUUAGGCAAGGAAGACUCAGAGGGGCAUUUGCCGGUUCCUUCCUUGGUUGGUGGGAAGGAGAGACAGGGCCUUCUCAGUGGCGGCUCCUCAGCUCUGGAACUCCCUCCCCAAUGAGAGUAGAACAGCACCCUCCCUCCUGGCCUUCAGAAAGAAGACAAAGACAUGACUGUGGAAGCAAGCUUUUGGCCAGUAAAGUAAUGCAAUGCAAGAAAUAAAUAGGGAAUGUGUGCAAUUGACAAUUGGAACGGCCCUGGUCUAUUAUUUUGGAUCAUGUUAUUUUAAUGUUUAUAUUAUAUUAUAAUUCUUUUUAAUGUCUAAAUGUUGUUUUAUGUCAUGUUUAAUAGUCUUAUUGAUUUUAAUGCAUAGUUAUAUGUUUACUGUUUCAGAUAUAUGAUCUGGUUUUACACGUAUGUACUGCACUGAAUUUUGCCACUAUCGUGUUGUAAACAGCUUUGAUUCCCCUCAGGGGUGAGAAAAACAGUAUAUAAAUAUGGUAGAUAAAUAAAUAAAUAAAUAAUAAACAA